UUUCGCAAUGCCCGAAAGGGUGACGAAGCGACGCCGCGUGUGGGAAGAAGGCCUUCGGGUUGUAAACCACUGUCGGGAGUUAGGAAAUGCAGGUGCGUUAAUAGCGCACUUGCUUGACUAAGGCUCCAGAGGAAGCCACGGCUAACUCCGUGCCAGCAGCCGCGGUAAUACAGAGGCGGCAAGCGUUGUUCGGAAUUAUUGGGCGUAAAGAGCACGUAGGCGGCCUUGCAAGUCAGUUGUGAAAGCCUUCCGCUUAACGGAAGAACGGCAUCUGAUACUACAGGGCUUGAGUACGGGAGGGGAGAGUGGAACUUCUGGUGGAGCGGUGAAAUGCGUAGAUAUCAGAAGGAACGCCGGCGGCGAAAGCGACUCUCUGGUCCGAAACUGACGCUGAGUGUGCGAAAGCUAGGGGAGCAAACGGGAUUAGAUACCCCGGUAGUCCUAGCCGUAAACGAUGGGCACUAAGUAGAGGGGUUUU
rnacentral:rRNA from 1 species